CAUAGGAAAGGAUGCAUUAUUCUAGUCAAUGAAAUUUUAUUAAGAUGAUCCUAAAAAAUCAUUUAAGAGCACACCUGUGAAACUUUUGGUGUUUGCCUGUUUCGCCCAGAUUCGGGUGGAUGCUGAAAAUGAAGAGUUCAUGGGCGCCCGUAACGGCAUACGAUAAGCGUUCCAUUUACUCGUGGAGACCCAAUUGUUGUGGGAAACUACAAAUUGGGAUUAAACCUAUUUCUGGUCAAAGCUAGGAAUAGCGUAGCUUGGUUUGAGUGAAAAUAUGGGGAUGAAGACAGCUCUAUAUUUGGUGUACAUCUUUUAUUAUGAGCAUUGCUAACUGAAACUAUUUUUGCAAAAGAACAUAAGUAAAAUAAAUCGUUGCGAGGAAAACUUCUAGAAUGUUUAUUCUUACAAGAUUGCGGUAGUAUCUAAGUGGCAAUCAGGUAAGAUGCGCGGUAACGACAUCUUGAUCGCUUAAAAGGUAACUGCCAACUCAGUAAUGAUUGGUAGCGAUUUAGGGAAAUCCAACCUGACCUAAGAGCUAAAGUUUAUUGUAAGAAUCUCCUUUCCUAUUA
rnacentral:sRNA from 1 species